rnacentral:rRNA from 1 species
CAUUACCAGUAUUAGAGGCACUGCCUGCCCAGUGACAUUAGUUAAACGGCCGCGGUAUCCUGACCGUGCAAAGGUAGCAUAAUCAUUUGUUCCUUAAUUAGGGACUUGUAUGAACGGCCCCACGAGGGUUUAACUGUCUCUUACUUUCAAUCAGUGAAAUUGACCUUCCCGUGAAGAGGCGGGAAUACAAAAAUAAGACGAGAAGACCCUAUGGAGCUUAAAUUAAUAUGUUCAACAGAAUUUAAUUAUAAUCCAAUAGGAUAAAAUAUUCUAACUGAACAAUAAAUUUUGGUUGGGGUGACCUCGGAGUAUAACAUAACCUCCGAGCAAUUAAACCAAGACUUACCAGUCAAGGCCAUAUAACUUAUUGAUCCAAUCUUAUUGAUCAACGAAACAAGUUACCCUAGGGAUAACAGCGCAAUCCUAUUUAAGAGUUCAUAUCGACAAUAGGGUUUACGACCUCGAUGUUGGAUCAGGACACCCAAAUGGUGCAGCAGCUAUUNNAGGUUCGUUU